UGUAUCAGAAAUUGUGAGAAACGUAAAAAUAAGUAAAGUAAAAUAAAUAUAACUAAUAAAUUUGUGAUGAAAGUGUCCAAGGCGGUGUACUCUCCAUGAAUGAAUGGAUGGAGUAAGAAGAAACCGUCCUUAUUUUGUUUUUGAGGUGACCGUCACAAAGCCAGUAUUUAUUGCAGAACUUGUGUAGCAAUAAAAACUGGGAACCACGAAGCCGGGCACCUGUCUAAUACCUCGGUUCUGUUCGUUGAUCUGGUCUUGGAAGUUAUGAAAUCUACACGUAUUCCUAUCAGUAUCAUGAUCGUAUCAAAUCUAUCUAUCAAAUCAAAUCUUCUAUUCUUGUUUAGUUUCCUUUCCCCUUGAUCUAUUACUAAAACAACAACUAAAAAAAAUUUUUAUUUUCCAGAUAAAUCUUCAAUUGUGGAAGUCUGUACACGAUUAUAAAUGUCCCGCGCUAUCACCUUGUUCCUUUAAUGUGUUCCGGAUUUAUCCAAGAAGCAUAUACAAGAUCUUAUAUUGGCUGGUGUGAAUCAUCGAGUUUGGCUGGUAGUUUACUAUUGAUUGGUGAUCCUGAUGAUGUUUUUAUUUCAAAUUUUUAACAUUUUACAUUAUUUUUCUACAAAUUGUGAAAUCAAGAAAAUGUUUUGUAUUUGCAAAAACAUCUAUAAAUCUUGAAAUAAUUUUCAUUACGAAAAUUAAAUAAAAUUAUUACCCACGUUAUAGUGAAGAAAA